CACGGGGGGAGCAAGCGUUGUUCGGAAUCACUGGGCGUAAAGCGCACGUAGGCGGCUUUCUAAGUCAGGGGUGAAAUCCUGGAGCUCAACUCCAGAACUGCCUUUGAUACUGAAGAUCUUGAGUUCGGGAGAGGUGAGUGGAACUGCGAGUGUAGAGGUGAAAUUCGUAGAUAUUCGCAAGAACACCCGUGGCGAAGGCGGUUCUCUGGGACGGUACUGACGCUGAGACGCGAAAGCGUGGGGAGCGAACAGG
rnacentral:rRNA from 1 species